rnacentral:lncRNA from 1 species
AACAGCUCUGAGUAUCGCUCUGGAACCAGUGAGGCUGGCUGAAGUCAGAGGUCAGGGAAUCGAAGGCACAAGAACCGAGAUGGAAAACAGUGAGCAGCCUAGACUGAUGGAAAUGUGCACGUCAAACAGUGUAGAGGAGAGCAAAGUCAGCCUUCUUCUCCUUGCUGGGGACAUCAGCCUCAUCUUGCCAGGAGACCCUGAAAAUACCUCACCUGAAUCUUGCUUUGCAAAGUGAUGUCUGUCUUCCUCAAGGUCUCCUUCCAUCUCCAAUUAACUGACUCCAUGAUAACUGGAGUCAGGUUUUGGCUCAAGCAGGUGGGGAAAUGUAUCCCUGCUGCAGU